UUUACAAUGGAGAGUUUGAUCCUGGCUCAGGAUGAACGCUAGCGGCAGGCCUAAUACAUGCAAGUCGAACGGGGCAGCAAUGCCCAGUGGCGCACGGGUGCGUAACGCGUAGGCAAUCUGCCUAUCUCUGGGGGAUAGCCCGCCGAAAGGUGGAUUAAUACCGCAUAACACUGCAGGGCGGCAUCGCCCAACAGUUAAAGAAUUUCGGAGAUAGAUGAGCCUGCGUGCCAUUAGCUAGUUGGUGAGGUAACGGCUCACCAAGGCGACGAUGGCUAGGGGAGCUGAGAGGCCGAU
rnacentral:rRNA from 1 species